GUGAAUCAUCAAAUUUUUGAACGCAAAUUGCACUCUCCGGUUUUCCGGGAGAGUAUGCCUGUUUGAGGGUCAGCCUAAAAAAAAAUCGCCUUUGUUCCUGUAAUUAAUUGUUACUUUUCUCCGAGAUUUGGUUAUUUUUAACCUUUUUUUUUUUUUUGUUUUACGCAAUUUAAAUUUUUUUUUCCCCUUUCCAUAACUUUUUC
rnacentral:misc_RNA from 1 species